GACGAACGCUGGCGGCGUGCCUAAUACAUGCAAGUUGAGCGAUGAAGAUUGGUGCUUGCACCAAUUUGAAGAGCAGCGAACGGGUGAGUAACGCGUGGGGAAUCUGCCUUUGAGCGGGGGACAACAUUUGGAAACGAAUGCUAAUACCGCAUAACAACUUUAAACAUAAGUUUUAAGUUUGAAAGAUGCAAUUGCAUCACUCAAAGAUGAUCCCGCGUUGUAUUAGCUAGUUGGUGAGGUAAAGGCUCACCAAGGCGAUGAUACAUAGCCGACCUGAGAGGGUGAUCGGCCACAUUGGGACUGAGACACGGCCCAAACUCCUACGGGAGGCAGCAGCAGGGAAUCUUCGGCAAUGGACGAAAGUCUGACCGAGCAACGCCGCGUGAGUGAAGAAGGUUUUCGGAUCGUAAAACUCUGUUGGUAGAGAAGAACGUUGGUGAGAGUGGAAAGCUCAUCAAGUGACGGUAACUACCCAGAAAGGGACGGCUAACUACGUG
rnacentral:rRNA from 1 species